CCUACGGGAGGCAGCAGUGGGGAAUUUUGGACAAUGGGGGCAACCCUGAUCCAGCCAUGCCGCGUGCGGGAAGAAGGCCUUCGGGUUGUAAACCGCUUUUGUCGGGGAAGAAAUCUUCUGAGUUAAUACCUCGGGAGGAUGACGGUACUCGAAGAAUAAGCACCGGCUAACUACGUGCCAGCAGCCGCGGUAAU
rnacentral:rRNA from 1 species